UUGAACGCUGGCGGUAUGCUUAACACAUGCAAGUCGAACGGGGGUAGUAAUACCCUAGUGGCGGACGGGUGAGUAAUACAUCGGAACGUACCCUGAAGUGGGGGAUAACGUAGCGAAAGUUACGCUAAUACCGCAUAUUCUAUGAGUAGGAAAGCAGGGGAUCGCAAGACCUUGCGCUUUAGGAGCGGCCGAUGUCGGAUUAGCUAGUUGGUGAGGUAAAGGCUCACCAAGGCGACGAUCCGUAGCGGGUCUGAGAGGAUGAUCCGCCACACUGGGACUGAGACACGGCCCAGACUCCUACGGGAGGCAGCAGUGGGGAAUUUUGGACAAUGGGCGCAAGCCUGAUCCAGCCAUGCCGCGUGAGUGAAGAAGGCCUUCGGGUUGUAAAGCUCUUUCGGCGGGGAAGAAAUCGCACUGGUUAAUACCUGGUGUGGAUGACGGUACCCGAAUAAGAAGCACCGGCUAACUACGU
rnacentral:rRNA from 1 species